rnacentral:lncRNA from 1 species
CUGUACUUUCCCCACUGGAACUACCUUGGCAACUCUGUUGAAAAUCAACCAACCUUCUAUGUGUGGGUCUAUUUCUGGACUCUAGUAUGUUUUACUGAUCUACAUGACUAUCUUAAUGCCAACGGUAGUGUCUUGAUUACUGUAGCUUUACAGAAAGUCUUGAAAUCAGGUAGUGUAAGUUCUUUUCCAAAAUUGUUUGGACUAUUCUAGGUCCUUUAGAUUUCCAUAUAAACUUUAUCAAAUUGUCCAUGUCUACAAAAACACUGAGAGGUAUCUGUUUCCAUACUUUAAACUCCUCACUGGGCCGGGUGUGGCAGCUCAUGCCUGUCAUCCCAGUAUGUCAGGAAGCUGAGACGGGAGGAUUGCUUGAGGCCAGGAAUUCGAGACUGGGCAACACAGUGAAACACUGUCUCCACUUUAAGUAAUAAUUUAAAAAAUUUUUUAAAAACCCAGCCAUAACAUUUUGUUCUUUAGAAAGUACAGAGGUCCUGGAUAGAUCACAGGAGAUUUGUCUCUUCAAAAUAAACUUGUAACAAAAUUACACUUAUCUUGAAAUAACUUUGUACCAACAAAGUGAUAUAGAUAUAUUUUAAAUGCCGGUACUGACAUUUGAAUUUGCAGUGACUUCAUGCAAGCCAAAAUAAAAAGACUAGCAGGUAAGUUCAUUGCUUAUAAGUUUGUGACUUUUACAAACCCUACGUUUACAUUAGUAAAUAGUAACUGCAGUGCAAAAGCUAUGUGGUAUUCCAGUGGGAUUCUGUGGUAGGAAACUAGAUGUGCAGGAAAGGUUGACAAUGUAUUUGAUUUUAUAGGACUCCUAUUUAGUUACCACAACCUCCUUCUUACUUUAACCUAUACAUGCUAAAUAUAGUCUCUGCAUCUCUCCUUGGUUCUUUCAUUCAUCUUUUUCUGUUCUUUAUAGUUUUCAAUAUACACAUCUAAAAAUACAGUGUACAAGUGUAAAUUAGCCAGUGUACAAGGGAAAGCCUUUUUUUUUUUUUUUUUUGAGACAGAGUCUCGCACUGUCGCCCGGGCUGGAGUGCAGUGGUGUGAUCUCAGCUCACUGCAACCUCCGCCUCCCAGGUUCAAGCGGUUCUUCCGCCUCAGUCUCCCGAGUAGCUGGGAUUACAGGUGCCCCCCACCAUGCCUGGCUGAUUUUUUGUAUUUUCAGUAGAGAUGAGGUUUCACUAUGUUGGCAAGGCUGAUCUCAAACGCCUGACCUCCCAAAGUGCUGGGAUUACAGGUGUGAGCCACCGCACCCAGCCAGGAAAGGCUUUCUUAAGUUUAUUACUAGGUAUUUUCUUCUUUUGAAAAUUGUAAAAGAAAUUUUCUUUUCAUUUGUUCAUUGCUGGUGUAUGAAAGCACUAAUUUUUUGUGUGCUGAUCUUUUACCCUGCAACUUUGCUGAAUUCAUUUAUGAGCUCUAGCUGUGUGUGUGUGUGUGUGUGUGUGUGCGCGCAUGUGUGUGUGUGUAUUUUACAUAAGAAUACGCUCACAACACUGUGCCUAUAGUUAACAAUACUGUAUUCGACAUGGAAAAAUUUGUUAAGAGGACAGAUCUCAUGUUAAGUGUUCUUACUACAAGUUUGUUUUUUAAAAGGGAAUACACUUAUACUCGUAGAAAUUUUGCUGUGUAGAAACAGAGAAGAAAAGUCAAGUCUUCGGCUAUUCAGGAAUAUAAAAUGUCCAUCAAAUUGUUAUAAUUAACUUUUAUA